rnacentral:rRNA from 1 species
GAUGAACGCUGGCGGCGUGCUUAACACAUGCAAGUCGAACGAAGCACUUUAUUUGAUUUCCUUCGGGACUGAUUAUUUUGUGACUGAGUGGCGGACGGGUGAGUAACGCGUGGGUAACCUGCCUUGUACAGGGGGAUAACAGUUGGAAACUGCUGCUAAUACCGCAUAAGCGCACGGCAUCGCAUGAUGCAGUGUGAAAAACUCCGGUGGUAUAAGAUGUACCCGCGUUGGAUUUGCUAGUUGGUGAGGUAACGGCCCACCAAGGCGACGAUCCAUAGCCGACCUGAGAGGGUGACCGGACACAUUGGGAAUGAGACACGGCCCGAUCUCCUACGGGAGGGAGCAGUGGGGAAUAUUGAACAAUGGGCGAAAGCGUGAUGCAGCGACGCCGCGUAAGCGGAGAAGUAUUUCGGUAUGUAAAGCUCUAUCAGCAGGGAAGGUAAUGACGGUACCUGACUAAGAAGCACCGGCUAAAUACGUG